rnacentral:rRNA from 1 species
UUGCAAGUUCUUAAGAGCAAACGGUGGAUGCCUUGGCAUCUGGAGCCGAAGAAGGACGUCGUAAUCUGCGAUAAGCCUCGGGGAGUUGAUAAACGAGCUGUGAUCCGAGGAUUUCCGAAUGGGGAAACCCAGCAAGAGACUAUAUGUGUUCUUGUUACUCCCACCUGAAUAUAUAGGGUGGGUAGAGGGAACGUGGGGAAGUGAAACAUCUCAGUACCCACAGGAAGAGAAAACAACAUGUGACUCCGGGAGUAGUGGCGAGCGAAACUGGAUGAGGCUAAACCUGUUAGGUGUGAUACACGGUAGUGGUUGCCUAGCGGGGGUUGUGGGACGCAAUAAAGAGUUCUACCGGGCUUUUAGCGUUAUUGUGUGCGUAUAGGAGAACACUUUGGAAGGAGUGACCGUAGUGGGUGAGAGUCCCGUAUCUGAAAUGCGUGUGCAGCGUUUUGUGUAUCCCGAGUAGCACGGGGCCCGUGAAAUCCCGUGUGAAUCUGCCAGGACCACCUGGUAAGCCUAAAUACUACUAGAUGACCGAUAGCGGACAAGUACCGUGAGGGAAAGGUGAAAAGUACCCCGGGAGGGGAGUGAAAUAGUACCUGAAACCGUUUGCUUACAAACCGUCAGAGCAUCCUUGUUGGUGUGAUGGCGUGCCUUUUGAAGAAUGAGCCUGCGAGUUAGCGGCAUGUGGCGAGGUUAACCCGUGUGGGGUAGCCGUAGCGAAAGCGAGUCUGAAUAGGGCGGUAUAGUCGCGUGUCCUAGACCCGAAGCGAAGUGAUCUAUCCAUGGCCAGGUUGAAGCACGUGUAAGAGCGUGUGGAGGACCGAACCCACUUAGGUUGAAAACUGAGGGGAUGAGCUGUGGAUAGGGGUGAAAGGCCAAUCAAACUUCGUGAUAGCUGGUUCUCUCCGAAAUGCAUUUAGGUGCAGCGUUACGUGUUUCUUGCCGGAGGUAGAGCUACUGGAUGGCCGAUGGGCCCUACAAGGUUACUGACGUCAGCUAAACUCCGAAUGCCGGUAAGUCAGAGCGUAGCAGUGAGACUGUGGGGGAUAAUCUUCAUGGUCGAGAGGGAAACAACCCAGAUCAUCAUCUAAGGUCCCUAAGCGUGUGCUAAGUGGAAAAGGAUGUGGAGUUGCUUAGACAACCAGGAGGUUGGCUUAGAAGCAGCCACCCUUGAAAGAGUGCGUAAUAGCUCACUGGUCAAGUGAUUCCGCGCCGACAAUGUAACGGGGCUCAAGCACACCACCGAAGAUAUGGCAAUCCGUGUAUAGGCAAGCCUUUGUGGUUCAGUUCACGGGUUGGGUAGGAGAGCGUCGUGUCACGAGUGAAGCGGCAGAGUGAUCUAGUCGUGGAUGUGACACGAGUGAGAAUGCAGGCAUGAGUAGCGAAAGACGGGUGAGAAACCCGUCCUCCGGAAGACCAAGGGUUCCAGGGUCAAGCUAAUCUUCCCUGGGUAAGUCGGGACCUAAGGCGAGGCCGACAGGCGUAGUCGAUGGAUAACGGGUUGAUAUUCCCGUACCGGCUGGUAACCGUUCAACACAAACUUUCGAGUGCUAAGAAAACUUUUAUGUUGGGUGAAGCAACUUUGUUGUUUUGUCUAGUGUGUGGUUUUUGAUCCCGAUGAUUGGGCGUGAGCGUGAGGUGUGACGCAGGAAGGUAGGUGGUCCCGGGCGAUGGUUGUCCCGGGCUAAGUAUGUAGCCUGUUCCUUAGUAAUAUUUUGGAACAUUAGGGUGAGAUACGAUGGGGAGCCGUUUUUGGUGAAGUCACUGAUCCUAUGCUGCCGAGAAAAGCAUCGGCGUGAGGUUGCUGGUUGCCCGUACCCCAAACCGACUCAGGUGGUCAGGUAGAGAAUACUAAGGAGAUCGAGAUAAUCGUGGUGAAGGAACUCGGCAAAAUGCCCCCGUAACUUCGGGAGAAGGGGGGCCAUCCGCUUAUACCAACUUGCUUGGGAAAGGGUGUGGUGGCCGCAGAGACCAGUGGGAAGCGACUGUUUACUAAAAACACAGGUCCGUGCUAACAAGCAAUUGGAUGUAUACGGACUGACGCCUGCCCGGUGCUGGAAGGUUAAGAGGAGAGGUUAACACUUUGGUGUGAAGCUUUGAAUUUAAGCCCCAGUAAACGGCGGUGGUAACUAUAACCAUCCUAAGGUAGCGAAAUUCCUUGUCGGGUAAGUUCCGACCUGCACGAAUGGCGUAACGACUUCCCAGCUGUCUCCACCGCGAACUCGGCGAAAUUGCAGUACGAGUAAAGAUGCUCGUUACGCGCAGCAGGACGGAAAGACCCCGUGACCUUUACUAUAGCUUGGUAUUGGUGUUCGGUGUGGCUUGUGUAGGAUAGGUGGGAGACUUUGAAGCAUGCACGCUAGUGUGUGUGGAGUCGUUGUUGAAAUACCACUCUGGUCACUCUGGAUAUCUAACUACGGACCCUGAUCGGGUUCUGGGACAGUGCCUGGUGGGUAGUUUAACUGGGGCGGUUGCCUCCCAAAAAGUAACGGAGGCGCCCAAAGGUUCCCUCAGCCUGGUUGGCAAUCAGGUGGCGAGUGUAAGUGCACAAGGGAGCUUGACUGUGAGACUGACAGGUCGAGCAGGGACGAAAGUCGGGACUAGUGAUCCGGCAGUGGCUUGUGGAAGCGCUGUCGCUCAACGGAUAAAAGGUACCUCGGGGAUAACAGGCUGAUCUUGCCCAAGAGUCCAUAUCGACGGCAUGGUUUGGCACCUCGAUGUCGGCUCGUCGCAUCCUGGGGCUGGAGUUGGUCCCAAGGGUUGGGCUGUUCGCCCAUUAAAGCGGUACGCGAGCUGGGUUUAGAACGUCGUGAGACAGUUCGGUCCCUAUCCGCUGCGUGCGUUGGAAAUUUGAAAGGAUCUGACCCUAGUACGAGAGGACCGGGUUGGACGGACCUCUGGUGUGCCAGUUGUACUGCCAAGUGCAUGGCUGGUUGGCUACGUUCGGGAUGGAUAACCGCUGAAAGCAUCUAAGCGGGAAGCCGGCCUUGAGAUGAGAUUUCCUAACACUCUUUUGUGUGUGAGGUUCCCUAUAGAUUAUGGGGUUGAUAGGCCAGAUAUGGAAGCAUAGUAAUGUGUGGAGUUGACUGGUACUAAUAAACCGAAUACUUGCUAAACA